CCUACGGGAGGCAGCAGCAAGGAAUUUUCCGCAAUGGGCGAAAGCCUGACGGAGUAACGCCGCGUGGGUGAGGAAGCCCUUCGGGGUGUAAAGCCCUUUUCUGGGGGACGAAUAAUGACGGUACCUCAGGAAUAAGCAUCGGCUAACUACGUGCCAGCAGCCGCGGUAAUACGUAGGAUGCGAGCGUUAUCCGGAUUCAUUGGGCGUAAAGAGCGCGCAGGCGGUGCCUUAAGUUAGGCGUGAAAUUUCCCGGCUCAACUGGGAAGGGUCGCCUAAAACUGGGGCACUUGAGGACAGAAGGGGAAAGUGGAAUUCCCGGUGUAGCGGUAAAAUGCGUAGAUAUCGGGAGGAACACCAGUGGCGAAGGCGGCUUUCUGGUCUGUUUCUGACGCUGAGGCGCGAAAGCUAGG
rnacentral:rRNA from 1 species